CACCAUCCAUUUUCACACACAAACUCUCUCAUCAUUUUCAUCCAUUUCACCAAGAACACCAUAAAAACCCACUUCACUUUAGUCAUUUCUUUGAUGAUCAAGAUGAUUUUCUAUGGAACCUACGAUGAUCUAAAGCACUUACAAGCUAAAGAGAGGAUUUUCAUCCAUUCAAGAGCAUUCUACCAUCAAGAUCAUCAUCUUCUUAGUUCUUAAUCAUCCUCUAGAUCAUCCCUAGCCUAGUGCUAGAAGGAAUUAAUGGACCAUGUCGGGAUUCUAAGUCAAGAUAACAAGUACCGGAACUCCAUGCCAUCUUUUGGAGUGUUUAUCUAUUAUAUUCCACCUCUUUGCGGUGAUAUGUUGGUUUAAACCUUAGUAGUUUAUUUUCAUUUUCAUGUAUGAACUAUAACACUUUACUUUUAUGUUAAUGGUUUGUAACCGAAACACUAAACUCGUGAUGUAAUGUUUUGAAACACUUAUGUAAUGGCAAUGGAGUAUGUUUUAUUCA